rnacentral:rRNA from 1 species
CACGCCCUAAACGAUGCGAACUGGAUGUUGGGCUCAACUCGGAGCUCAGUGUCGAAGCUAACGCGUUAAGUUCGCCGCCUGGGGAGUACGGUCGCAAGACUGAAACUCAAAGGAAUUGACGGGGGCCCGCACAAGCGGUGGAGUAUGUGGUUUAAUUCGAUGCAACGCGAAGAACCUUACCUGGCCUUGACAUGUCCGGAAUCCUGCAGAGAUGCGGGAGUGCCUUCGGGAAUCGGAACACAGGUGC